UACGUAGGGGGCUAGCGUUAUCCGGAAUUACUGGGCGUAAAGGGUGCGUAGGUGGUUUCUUAAGUCAGAGGUGAAAGGCUACGGCUCAACUGUAGUAAGCCUUUGAAACUGGGAAACUUGAGUGCAGGAGAGGAGAGUGGAAUUCCUAGUGUAGCGGUGAAAUGCGUAGAUAUUAGGAGGAACACCAGUUGCGAAGGCGGCUCUCUGGACUGUAACUGACACUGAGGCACGAAAGCGUGGGGAGCAAACAGGAUUAGAUACCCGGGUAGUUCCCUGAGCGGG
rnacentral:rRNA from 1 species